rnacentral:rRNA from 1 species
UACGUAGGCAGCAAGCGUUGUUCGGAAUUACUGGGCGUAAAGGGUGUGUAGGCGGUGCUCCAAGUCUGGUGUGAAAUCUCCCGGCUUAACUGGGAGGGUGCAUUAGAAACUGGAAUGCUAGAGGAUGGGAGAGGUAGGCGGAAUUCCUGGUGUAGCGGUGAAAUGCGUAGAUAUCGGGAGGAACACCUGUGGCGAAAGCGGCGCACUGGACCACAACUGACGCUGAGGCGCGAAAGCUAGGGGAGCAAACAGG